GCUAUUUUGCCUGAUGAAAGAAACAGAUGCAAAGAAGAAGAAAUGGUGCGCUUGCUACAAUGGACUUUGCUACUGCAAUAAGCGUUCUCUGGAUAUGUUGAAGGAAGAUGAAAAUGACCUUGUGGAAAAAAUGACAGAGGCGGAGUUCGCGAAGAGAUUAUUGAGAGCUGGGAUGAAGUAAUUUGAAAUCAGAAAAGAAGAAAGACUUUUAAUCGAAACAAAAGAAGAAGUGGAAAAA